UUUAGAAAUUAUUAACAUGGAAUACAUAAUAUACUUUAUCUGUAUGAGGUUAAUUCUUAUUUUUUUAAAUCUAUUUGUUAAAUGUUGGCAGGCAGAGUAUAUACUCCAGUUUAUCCUGAAUUUGAAUUUGGGUGUACGUGAUCUUACUUUUUUUUUGCGGGAAGUGUACAUGAUCUUCCUAGCUUCUAAUUCUACUGAGCUAUACUGAUGAUGGUGUGUUUGCUCUCACACAUUUAUUCAAAGGACCAUUAUGAUGAAUGAUGUCCAAUUCUAGGUUGCUGGAACUUGCAUCCAAUCCUGCUAUUCCCAACUGGUGUGUUUAUAGGUUGCAGUGCUAGUCGUGGUCUCCUCCUGAUGGAGCUCUGUAUACGCCCUUAUUGUUUAGCUAAAAAUCCCUUCUCUCCUAAGAUCUUGUAAGAAUCUUUCUUUUUUUCUUAAGAAGCAUGCUAUCAAUGGACGGCAGAUGCUGCAGCACCGAAAAGUUGGUGACCAUGCUUGGUGUUUAAGAGCGCAUAUGAAAAAUAUUUAUCUUUUUUA